rnacentral:misc_RNA from 1 species
GAACGGUCGGCAGGCGAUCCGUGUCGGUCGCGCGAGGUGGUAUGGUUCCCCCGAGGCCGGUUCUUGUGCUGCCUACCCCUUCAGGGGAAGCGGGCCACUUGAUGUAAGCCUCCAUCCGGCGCCCUCCAACGGGCGCAGGAGGACAACGGAGCACCCCCUGCGUACCACCGAGCCUUCGUCGGUCGCGUGGCGCGCGGGGACGUGCGAUGCUCUCGGACCCAGCGAACGCCGUGGGCGAGGACUCACGUCCCAGUCCCGAUAGAAGCUUCGGUAUAAUGCAUGACGGCCGCUCCCGCCCCCCGACCGCCCCGGCGGCGCGUGGGCGAGGCGCGGCGUCGCGGAGGAAUGCUACCUGGUUGAUCCUGC